rnacentral:tRNA from 1 species
GGUCUUAUAAUUUAAUAAAAAUAUGAAAUUGCAAGUUUUAAAUUGGUAAUUCCUAAGACUU